GAUACUCUUAUUUAUUUUGACUGAAAAAGUUCAACACAACCAGUGGAGAAAGAUGAGGGAUGGAUGUGGAUGAUGUUUCUGUGAGCAACACGCAUGGUGUGGAGCAGUCUUUGUUGGUGAUGGUGUAUGCAGUAUGUGACUGCACAGGAACUGACUCCUCAGGCUUUCUGAAGGAACUGGAAUUAAAUUAGACUCUUCUCAGCCAAACCAGUUCCUUCACCCAGUUCAAAAUACAACCAUGGCCACAUUACAGAAAAAGUUGUAUGGAUGUGGAGACAAACAGCAGAAGUCAGGAUGCCUCUCAUUAGCCAUCGGGGCUGCCAAAAGGUGAGAAGGUGACAAGAAUGAAAUGCACAAAAUGCAUGUGUAGGAG
rnacentral:lncRNA from 1 species